UCUGCCUGUGCUGGUUUGUCUCCCAAAAUGCUCCCUGAGCUGCCUGCAGAGGGGUUGGGAAGCCCAAAUUCCAGCCACAGAGAUGGGGACACCCUGCCAGGCAGCUGCAAACCCAGCUGCCAACACCUGGACCUGCAGGGAGCCCCAUCCCCACCAAUGCCCAGGGCUGGCAGAGCUCACACACCACCAGAGGAGCAGCACAGAGAUCCAGCCACCCAGCCUGGAUGCUCAGGAAAAGCUCCAUGGAGACAUCCUGAGACCUGUGGAAUAAGGGCAGAGGAGGCCUUCCUCUGAGCUGAUGGUUUCAUUCCCCUUUAAAGACCUGCCUGUGGGUAAUUAAAGCUCCUGUUUCUAAGCUGCUUGGUAUUUUAAUUGAUUUUCUGCACUGGCUGCCCACAGUGUAGUCAUUCAAAUCUUGCAAGCCCCGAGUGAGCAGCAAAGGAAAAGUGACCUCCCCACGAGUCCUUUGUGGUGGGAACUGGUUUGGACUGGGAAUGCUGCUGGUGGGACCACCUGGGUGCCAAGCCAUGCCCUGAUCUCCACCCUGGAGCAGCCCAGGGCAGGAAGAGCUUCCCAGCCUGGCUUUGUACCUGUCAUUUCUCUGGGAAUUUCCUCUGGGCUGUCCAGCAGAGACUGAUCUCCUGCAUGGUCAGAUUCUCCUCAGGAGAAAAGUGGGACCAUGGAAACAAAGAAGGACCCCAGAGCUGAUGACAAGUAAGCCAGGCUUUGGAGUGGAAAAAUUAAGCUCUGGCAAGCUGGUUUGAAAAAAAAAUCACUGUCAGUGGGAUAGGAUUCCUAAAUCUGCAGAGGGACUGCAGGAGGUCACAUCUCCAAAUCCAGAGAUAAAGGCUUUUCCCCAGCAGCCUGCUCCAGACUGGGACCUGGGAAACACCGAGAGUUUGCACCUUGUGGCUGCAGCAGCUGCCCCAGUGCCAGAGGGACUGAUAACAGAGCGACCACCCCAGGAGAGACUUUCUGGAUUUGUCAUCUUUGUCAGAGCGGUGACAGAGUGGUGUCACCCGCUAUUGUUCAUUUUGUGUGCUGGGGGUGCAGUGCCUGGUAA